CGUAUACUGGGGCCACAUCCCGCCGCUCUUCCGGCCUGUGCGCGUGCGCAACGGGCUUGGCACCACUGGCGAGGUCCGGCGACUUUUCGGUUAGCCCGUGGGUGGUGCGCGCGGCGCAGGGAGAGGAACUUCAGGAAGAAACGGCCCACGUAGAAUAAGGAAUACGCCCAGGGGAGGGGCCGUGGUCGCCCGCGAGCGCUGGCCUUUUCCGGGAAGGCUUGGAGGAAGUGCAUGCACCUGCUCGGCGUGGCCUGGGAGCUCGCCAGAGUCCAGCCUCUGCCCCGGAGUCCUAGGGACGCGUUUGGGUGGCCGGACAGGGCCCCGAGCGCCCAGCACCGGCCUGGCCUACUAACGCCUGCCCUUCAUAGAGCUGCGGGGAAAUUGUCGUUUUUUGAUUGAUCAGUUUCUGAUGCGGCUGGCCUGAUGUUAAGUUUCGUCAUGGAGGACACUGGAACGCAUUGCAGCGAGAAGGGGUUCUCCUUCCAGGCUGCAGGUGCUCCUCCCCGGGGGGUUCAUGCCAGCCCCACUCCCGCCGGGCUGCAGCUUCUCUGGCCCCCACUCCGGUAGCUCAGGACAGCUAGCAGCACCCGCCCAGGCAGUUUGGUGGCAGAAUGUCUCCAGCGGGACACCUCCCCGUGAAGAACUUGCCCCCUGCACACUGGAGGGCAGACCAAGGGAUUUCUUGGCCAUUCGGUGAGCCGCAGCUGUGCCCUCUCCAACACGGUCUGAAUCUCAGCUGGGCAGGGAAGGGGGACAGGAUCUCUUCCCUUGAAAACUCCACUUCAGCUCUACCAAUAUCAGCCCUACCCAUCCCUAUACUCUUUAGAGUUCUGUUUACCUCCUUCUAGCCUAUGUCUUGUUAUAGUUAAUAAUUUGAUAUAUUAAACUUACCCUGUUCAAAUUUUU